rnacentral:rRNA from 1 species
UACGAAGGGGGCUAGCGUUGUUCGGAAUUAUUGGGCGUAAAGAGCUCGUAGGCGGUUUGUUGCGUCGGCUGUGAAAUCCCGAGGCUCAACCUCGGGUCUGCAGUCGAUACGAGCAAACUAGAGUGUUGCAGGGGAGACUGGAAUUCCUGGUGUAGCGGUGAAAUGCGCAGAUAUCUGGAGGAAUACCGGUGGCGAAGGCGGCAUCCUGGACCAUUACUGACGCUGAGGCGCGAAAGCCAGGGGAGCAAACGGG